rnacentral:rRNA from 1 species
UACGUAGGUGGCAAGCGUUGUCCGGAAUUAUUGGGCGUAAAGCGCGCGCAGGCGGCCUUUUAAGUCUGAUGUGAAAGCCCACGGCUCAACCGUGGAAGGUCAUUGGAAACUGAAAGGCUUGAGUACAGAAGAGGAAAGCGGAAUUCCACGUGUAGCGGUGAAAUGCGCAGAUAUCAGGAGGAACACCGGUGGCGAAGGCGGGUCUCUGGGCCGUAACUGACGCUGAGGAGCGAAAGCAUGGGGAGCGAACAGG